ACGAGAUUGUAGGGCAACUUAUAGUCUAGUGGCGGAAGGGUUAGUAAUACAUGAACAACUUGCCUCUAACCUGGGAAUAACGGCUGGAAACGGCCGCUAAUACCGAAUGAGGUGUCGGGAGGGAUCUCCCGCCAUCAAAGUAGGGGACUGAAGAAAUUCAACCUUGCGGUUAGAGAGAGGUUCAUGGGAUAUCAGCUAGUUGGUGCGGUAACGGCGCACCAAGG
rnacentral:rRNA from 1 species